ACUCUGACCAGCCAUGCCGCGUGCAGGAAGACAGCCCUCUGGGUCGUAAACUGCUUUUAUUCGGGAAUAAACCUCAUUACGUGUAAUGAGCUGAAUGUACCGAAGGAAUAAGGAUCGGCUAACUCCGUGCCAGCAGCCGCGGUAAUACGGAGGAUCCAAGCGUUAUCCGGAUUUAUUGGGUUUAAAGGGUGCGUAGGCGGCUUUUUAAGUCAGGGGUGAAAGACGGUAGCUCAACUAUCGCAGUGCCUUUGAUACUGAAGAGCUUGAAUGGACUAGAGGUAGGCGGAAUGUGACAAGUAGCGGUGAAAUGCAUAGAUAUGUCACAGAACACCGAUUGCGAAGGCAGCUUACUAUGGUUUAAUUGACGCUGAGGCACGAAAGCGUGGGGAUCAAACAGGAUUAGAUACCCUGGUAGUCCACGCCCUAAACGAUGAAUACUCGCUGUUAGCGAUACACAGUUAGCGGCUAAGCGAAAGCGUUAAGUAUUCCACCUGGGGAGUACGGUCGCAAGAUUGAAACUCAAAGGAAUUGACGGGGGCCCGCACAAGCGGAGGAGCAUGUGGUUUAAUUCGAUGAUACGCGAGGAACCUUACCCGGGCUUGAAAGUUAGUGAAUCAUUUAGAGAUAGAUGAGUC
rnacentral:rRNA from 1 species